rnacentral:lncRNA from 1 species
AUCGCUCCUGGAGCUUCGCUUGCAAAAGUAUGUGAUAAUGAUGAGCUACCUGCAUCUCUCAUAGGGCGUGUAAAGCUGAUGGAAAUUCAGAAUAGGACUGCUAAUCAUCAAAAUGUUCAGAACCAAGGCAAAAGUGCAUCGGCUGAUAAAAGUCCUCCAGUGAGCCCCUCUAAACUCCGUUUUCACCUUUUUCAGAAGGAAGCCCAGAAGUUAGAUCCUGGUGAGCAAUUAGUGCAAUGUCCCCGGUGCUCUUUACCGUCACGGCAAGAUAAAACCAACAAUUUAGGUUUGUGCACUCGUCAGGGGUGUCAAUAUCAAUUCUGCUUGAACUGCCGUUUUGAGUUUCACCAACCUCAUUCAUGUUCUGUGUUAACCCCUCGAUACAGUAACAAAAAUAGCCUUUACAUUAAUAGGAAAUCAAGUAGGAGGUUCCUUAGGCGCCUGUAA